rnacentral:lncRNA from 1 species
AACAUCCAUGAAAACUUCCCAAGUAGUAGGGGUAGGCAGGACUUCUUUCUUAAGUUGUCACCAGUGUUUGGCAUCACCGUUUAACAUAAAGGCUGUAAGAAGGACUUUUUGUUCUUCGGUUAGGUCUAGUACAGAAAAGAGCUUUUCUAUUUGUAGGAUUCAGGCUUCGGCUACUAAAGAAUCAUGGCCACCUUCAAAGUGUGGGGAUUACAUUUCUUAAACUCUGCUAUAU